AUACUUACCUGGCAGGGGAGAUACCAUGAUCACGAAGGUGGUUUUCCCAGGGCGAGGCUUAUCCAUUGCACUCCAGGUGUACUGACCCCUGCAAAAUGUGGGGAACUCAACUGUGUAACGUGUGGUAGUGGGGGACUGCAUUCAUGGUCUCCUCUA